CAGUAGCCACGGUAAUGCGUAGGUCCCGAGCGUUGUCCGGAUUUAUUGGGCGUAAAGCGAGCGCAGGCGGUUUGAUAAGUCUGAAGUUAAAGGCUGUGGCUCAACCAUAGUUCGCUUUGGAAACUGUCAAACUUGAGUGCAGAAGGGGAGAGUGGAAUUCCAUGUGUAGCGGUGAAAUGCGUAGAUAUAUGGAGGAACACCGGUGGCGAAAGCGCUCUCUGGUCUGUAACUGACGCUGAGGCUCGAAAGCGUGGGGAGCGAACAGGAUUAGAUACCCCGGUAGUCCCUGUCUCUUAUACCC
rnacentral:rRNA from 1 species